rnacentral:rRNA from 1 species
CCUACGGGUGGCAGCAGUGGGGAAUAUUGGACAAUGGGGGAAACCCUGAUGCAGCGACGCAGCGUGAGGGAAGACGUCAUUCGUGAUGUAAAGCUUUAUCAGCAGGGGAGAAAAUGACGGUCCCUGACCAAGAAGCCCCGGCUAACUACGUGCGAGAAGGCGUGGUAAUACGUAGGGGGCAGGCGUUAUCCGGAUUUACUGGGUGUAAGGGGAGCGUAGACGGUUGGGCAGGUCUGGAGUGAAAGGCGGGGGCCCAACCCCCGGACUGCACUGGAAACUGUGUAACUGGAGUGCAGGCGAGGUAAGUGGAAUUCGUGGUGUAGCGGUGAAAUGCGUAGAUAUUAGGAGGAACACCGGUGGCGAAGGCGGCUGACUAGACUGUAACUGACGUUGAGGCUCGAAAGCGUGGGUAGCAAACAGGAUUAGAUACCCGGGUAGUC